rnacentral:rRNA from 1 species
GCGCGAAAACUUUACAAUGCGGGAAACCGUGAUAAGGGAAUCUCGAGUGCCAGCAUAUAAUGUUGGCUGUCCAGAUGCCUAAAAAGCAUCUGUUAGCAAGAGCCGGGCAAGACCGGUGCCAGCCGCCGCGGUAACACCGGCGGCCCGAGUGGUAACCGCUUUUAUUGGGUCUAAAGGGCCUGUAGCCGGCCAAGUAAGUCCCUUGGGAAAUCUGGCAGCUUAACUGUCAGGCUGCUAGGGGAUACUGCUAGGCUUGGGACCGGGAGAGGUGAGAGGUACCUUGGGGGUAGGGGUGAAAUCUUGUGAUCCUCGGGGGACCACCAGUGGCGAAGGCGUCUCACCAGAACGGGUCCGACGGUAAGGGACGAAAGCUAGGGGCACGAACCG